CAUAGGGAUUUGGUGAAAUUGAAGUGGUUGAAACCAAAUGUAGAGCAAUUGAGUCUGACUUCUACAAAUGUAAUUUCCAGAGGGAAUUCUAUAACCUAAAUUGGACUCCUGGAAUAACAAUGUACUAGAUAUCAUUGCCUGGAAGAGUCAGAUGCAGGAAGCUCCUAUCUAAACUGGCCAACUCUCCCUUCGAAGAACAAACAGAACAGCUGAAGAGAGAAAUAUGUUACUUUGAACUGUAUCCUGAUUAUAUUUAGCAAAAUAUACAUGAUGUAAGAUUCAAUUGUUAUACCAAAUGAGACUCUGGGACUGACUGGGCUGUUACCCACCACUUGCAGACAUUGAUUCUAGUUCUGGAAAUCUAAUAUGGAAACACCCUUCUGUAUGGAUGCCAGGAGUCACAGAGACAUGCAGUCCAGUUAUGUACACGUGAACAAUUGUCUUCCUUUUACAUUUCACACACUUCAUUUAAAUGAACCAUUGUAAGCAUGCCAUGACAAACCUAUGCUUUACUCAAUAAAAGUACUGCCAUUCAUCUUGA